AUUUUUCUUCAUUGGCUUUUUUCGGUACGUCUGUUGGAUGCGUAUAUUUUGAAGAGAGGGAAAAAAGGAUUCUUGAAUAAGACUUCAACAUGGCAUAUAAUCUAAAACAGUUCAUGAUUUUAUUGGGUAUUGGACAGCACCUAUAUUAACAAGGGUCAAGCCUGAAAUUAUACACUCAAGUCUAAAGGAGUAAGACUCUGUGUGAACCAAAAAGUAGGGUCAACGUUUUGAACGCCCACUGCCCACCCUGCCGGCUACCUGCUCAUCCUCAAGGUUCAACACCAAGUGCCACGUUGACUCACUUAGCUUUCCUGUUAACAGUUUUGCUGUGUGAGUUGUUUUUGUUUUUUUGUUUUUUUUGGGGUUUUUUUGGGUGGUUUUGUUUGGUUCCAUCAAUGGUUACUUCUUCAGAAAUUCUCAAAGGAAACUUCUAUCUGUUAUAAAAGACAAAGCCUAGCCAGUCCAAUGGUGCUGAAAAGACUGUCAGCAGUUCACUUUCCCACAGUUGUACUUUGUGAGAAGCCACCACAGGUUAACCUUUAGCAAAUGCCAACUAAAAAAAAAAUGAAGCAUUUAUUGUCUAAAGAAAGAAAUACAGUUGAUUUCAAUUUGGAAAGUACUGUUUGGAAUAGAAAUGUAUGUUCUCAUCUUUUUUUCAUGAAGCUUACUUUCUAUUUCCCCAGCCCACAAAGGAGAGCAAUUUAAACUCUACCACCACCUGAGGCCUGCACUCUGCUCCCCCCUUCAUCAGUUUUUGUAUUAAUGGAGUUGCUUUAAUGUCGUGUUUUGGAGCCCUGUUCCAUUUAAAUUGUUGAUUAAAAAGAAAAUGACAUUUAGUAAAGAAAAAGCCAAUGUGACCUUUCCACGGUGGCUUGCCUUAAAAGAAUUUUUUCCAGAUAGUGAGGUUACAACAUCACCGUGCUGAUAUAGAAACGAUUUUUUACUAUUCAAUUCAUUCAGCCUGAAUUCUUCUCCAUUUGUAUAGAGGCCCUGGAUUCAGAUAUAAGAUCCUUGUUUCAUGUUUUUGUCCCAUGUUACCAAUGUGUGACUUCAUUCAACUUUUUAUGCAUGCACUGAAAAAUGUUUAAUAAAAUGCCCACUAAGGCUA